rnacentral:rRNA from 1 species
CGCCCAUAAGCUAGCCCCCUCACCUAAAAACAACAAACCUUAUUAAUACCCCCUAAUACCCUAUUAAACUACAAAACAAAUCAUUUUUCCCCCUUAGUAUGGGCGACAGAAAAGGGGCCCGUGGAGCUAUAGAAAAAGUACCGCAAGGGAACGCUGAAAGAGAAAUGAAAUAAACCAGUAAAGCCUAAAAAAGCAGAGCUUACCCCUCGUACCUUUUGCAUCAUGAUUUAGCUAGUAGAAUUCAAGCAAAGUGCACUUUAGUUUGACACCCCGAAACUAGAUGAGCUACUCCAAGGCAGCCUAGUUUAUAGGGCACACCCGUCUCUGUGGCAAGAGAGUGGGAAGACCUUUGAGUAGGAGUGACAAACCUAUCGAACCUAGUUAUAGCUGGUUGCCUGGGAACUGGAUAGGAGUUCAGCCUCCCGGCUUCUCUCGUCAACACAUAAUAUUCAAGGGCCCCGCCCUUAUGAUCGACAUGGCAGAACCCGCGAGAGUUAGUCAGAGGGGGUACAGCUCCUCUGACACAAGAUACAACUUUUCAAGGUGGGUAAUGACCACAUAGUACAAGGCAAAGUAUUCUGGUGGGCUUAAAAGCAGCCAUCCUCAAAGAGUGCGUUAAAGCUCAGACAUGCUUAUAUCCUUAUAUUCUGGCAACCUCAUCACAACCCCCUAAAUUUACCAGGCCUUCCCAUGCAAACAUGGGAGAGUUAAUGCUAAAAUGAGUAAUAAGAGGGUAUAUUUUGCCCCUCUCUCCAGCACAUGUGUACCUCGGAACGGACCCGCCGCCGAGCUUUAACGGCCCCAAUUAAAGAGGGGACUGAAUAAUGAAUAAAAAACUAGAAAACCAUUCAAACACCACCGUUAACCCCACACUGGCGUGCAUCCAGAGAAAGACUCAAAGGGGAAGAAGGAAUUCGGCAAAUAUGAGCCCCGCCUGUUUACCAAAAACACCGCCUCUUGCAAACUUAUGUAUAAGAGGUCCAGCCUGCCCUGUGACUAUAUGUUUAACGGCCGCGGUAUCUUAACCGUGCGAAGGUAGCGCAAUCACUUGUCUUUUAAUUGAAGACCUGUAUGAAUGGCAUCACGAGGGCUUGACUGUCUCCUUCCCCUAGUCAAUGAAAUUGAUCUCCCCGUGCAGAAGCGGGGAUACACACAUAAGACGAGAAGACCCUGUGGAGCUUUAGACACAAGAGAGACUGCCUUCAUUAACCCAAAAUAAAGGGCCAAAGCUAAAGGUAGCCCUCUCCAGCGUCUUUGGUUGGGGCGACCGUGGGGUAAAACAAAACUCCCUCGUGGAAUAGGAGCAUCCUCCUUCAACCAAGAGCUCCCGCUCUAAGGAACAGAACUUCUGACCAAUCAGUGAUCCGGCAUCGCCGAUCAACGAACCGAGUUACCCCAGGGAUAACAGCGCAAUCUCCUUCUAGAGCCCUUAUCGACAAGGGGGUUUACGACCUCGAUGUUGGAUCAGGACAUCCUAAUGGUGCAGCCGCUAUUAAGGGUUCGUUUGUUCAACGAUUAAAGUCCUACGUGAUCUGAGUUCAGACCGGAGCGAUCCAGGUCGGCUUCUAUCUAUGACUUCCUCUUUUCUAGUACGAAAGGACCGAAAAGAAGAGGCCCACGCCCUUUGCGCGCCUCACCCUUACCCGCUGAACAUAACUAAAACAGGUAAAAGAGGAUAUAUUUUAACUAGAGAAAAU